UACGUAGGGGGCAAGCGUUGUCCGGAAUCAUUGGGCGUAAAGAGCGUGUAGGCGGUCCGGUAAGUCGGCUGUGAAAGUCCAGGGCUCAACCCUGGGAUGCCGGUCGAUACUGCCGGACUAGAGUUCGGAAGAGGCGAGUGGAAUUCCCGGUGUAGCGGUGAAAUGCGUAGAUAUCUGGAGGAACACCGGUGGCGAAGGCGGCAUCCUGGACCGGCAUUGACGCUGAGGAGCGAAAGCCAGGGGAGCAAACGGG
rnacentral:rRNA from 1 species